rnacentral:pre_miRNA from 1 species
CACCCCAGGCCCACGCUCUGCAGUCCGCCGCCCUCUUCUGGACACCGAGGUGGAAGAGAGCUGCGAACUGAGAAGCCGUCUUCUGGGCAGGGUG